UGUCCUAGGUCUGAAAUUAACUGAGCUCCACUCUCUGCUCUUCCUGGGUUUAAGUACUGUAAAAUGAAUGCAAAGUCGACAAGCAAUUUCAUGAGGAUAUAGCAGUAGAAUGUGUAUUGGUCAUUUCAUCAUAUUUCAGUACCUCCUUUCCACUUCAGAUUACUGGAUGGUGCAGUCAACAAAUCUUUGGAGGUGAGAUGACCACACAAAUUUCAAACAACUGAUAGAAGUGAAGAAAGAAAAUUCAAACAGAUCAUGUUCCUGUGAUUACUCUUCGGAUGAUUCUAGAGGAUAGUAGGUAAAAGAUCUGGUGAUAGGAGAAAUGGGAGGUAAACACAGGCCAUUGGGUUGUUUCAUUUCAUUCCUUGGUGCUCACGCAAAACCGCUGCCCUCUACUUACUGCAUUGCUAUUUUAUGUUUUUUGAAGUGGUUAACUGCUGUUCUAAUUAAUGGACAGGGGACUCCAUAAAGCUGAUUACAGCUAUGAUUUUGCAUUGACAGUCAUGGUGCUGUUUUUAUAAUGAGUAUAAUUGUAUGCAUCCUAUGAAACUUCCUUUUUUUCUGAACUUUUUAUGUGACUAUCCAAAGAUAUUCUUAGCUAAAUUUGCUUUAUUAGACUAAUUCAGAACUUUUUUUGCCAGUGAACUCUUUACUGGUAUCGCUAGUAUUCCUUCUUCUAACUCAUCCCAUGUAGCUAUUGAAUGAUGACAGCAGAGUUAAAUUAAUAAUUGGACACAGGCACCUGAAAUAGUAAGUGGAAAGGGAGAAAGAAGACACUUUUAAAGAACAAAAUUAAAAUCUUUUUGCUAUGACUUAACUUAUUACUUAUUUUUCUCAUUUUGAUACUUUAAUUCUACCCUUGAUGUGAUAUAUUAAACAGAUUAUAAUUUGAGACCUUUUGCUCUUUGUUUUAAUGAGACAUGAGAAGUAUUUCUUAUUCGUUUGCAUUAUAACCCAUACUUUGUCUGUUCCUAUUCAAAUGCAUGCUAUUAUUUGUCUUGAUGUGAAUGAAAAGUACUUCUCAGAUAUUCAGCUUCAGUUUCCACUUAACUCAU